rnacentral:rRNA from 1 species
AGAGUUUGAUCCUGGCUCAGGAUGAACGCUGACAGAAUGCUUAACACAUGCAAGUCAACUUGAACUUCGGUUUGGGUGGCGGACGGGUGAGUAACGCGUAAAGAACUUGCCUCACAGUUAGGGACAACAUUUGGAAACGAAUGCUAAUACCUGAUAUUAUGAUUUUAGGGCAUCCUAGAAUUAUGAAAGCUAUAUGCGCUGUGAGAGAGCUUUGCGUCCCAUUAGCUAGUUGGAGAGGUAACGGCUCACCAAGGCGAUGAUGGGUAGCCGGCCUGAGAGGGUGAUCGGCCACAAGGGGACUGAGACACGGCCCUUACUCCUACGGGAGGCAGCAGUGGGGAAUAUUGGACAAUGGACCAAGAGUCUGAUCCAGCAAUUCUGUGUGCACGAUGAAGUUUUUCGGAAUGUAAAGUGCUUUCAGUUGGGAAGAAAAAAAUGACGGUACCAACAGAAGAAGUGACGGCUAAAUACGUGCCAGCAGCCGCGGUAAUACGUAUGUCACGAGCGUUAUCCGGAUUUAUUGGGCGUAAAGCGCGUCUAGGUGGUUAUGUAAGUCUGAUGUGAAAAUGCAGGGCUCAACUCUGUAUUGCGUUGGAAACUGUAUAACUAGAGUACUGGAGAGGUAAGCGGAACUACAAGUGUAGAGGUGAAAUUCGUAGAUAUUUGUAGGAAUGCCGAUGGGGAAGCCAGCUUACUGGACAGAUACUGACGCUGAAGCGCGAAAGCGUGGGUAGCAAACAGGAUUAGAUACCCUGGUAGUCCACGCCGUAAACGAUGAUUACUAGGUGUUGGGGGUCGAACCUCAGCGCCCAAGCAAACGCGAUAAGUAAUCCGCCUGGGGAGUACGUACGCAAGUAUGAAACUCAAAGGAAUUGACGGGGACCCGCACAAGCGGUGGAGCAUGUGGUUUAA